GACGGAAGGUGCAAGCGUUGCUCGGAAUCACUGGGCGUAAAGGGUGCGUAGGCGGCCGCGCAAGUCUGGCGUGAAAGCCCCGGGCUCAGCCCGGGAAGGGCGCUCGAAACGGCGCGGCUCGAGUGCCGGGAGGGGACGAGGUGGAAUUCCUGGUGAGCGGUGAAAUGCGUAGAUAUCAGGAGGAAUACCGGUGGCGAAAGCGACUCUCUGGACGGCAACUGACGCUGAGGCACGAAAGCGUGGGGAGCAAACAGG
rnacentral:rRNA from 1 species